UACGAGGGGUCCAAGCGUUGUUCGGAAUCAUUGGGCGUAAAGCGGGUGUAGGUGGCUUUGUAAGUCAGGAGUGAAAGCCCCGGGCUCAACCUGGGAAUGGCAAUGGAUACUGGCAAGCUAGAGUGCGGUAGAGGGUAGUGGAAUUCCCGGUGUAGCGGUGAAAUGCGUAGAGAUCGGGAGGAACACCAGUGGCGAAGGCGGCUACCUGGACCAGCACUGACACUGAGGCACGAAAGCGUGGGGAGCAAACAGG
rnacentral:rRNA from 1 species